AGUGAACGCUGGCGGUAGGCCUAACACAUGCCAGUCGAACGGCAGCACAGUAUGAGCUUGCUCUUACGGGUGGCGAGUGGCGGAACGCUUAGGAAUACAUCGCAAUCUACUUUUUCGUGUUCAAUAACGUAGGGAAACUUACGCUAAUACCUCAUACGACCUACGGGUGAAAUCAGGGGAUCUUCGGAUCUUGCACGAUUGAAUGAGCUGUCGUCGGAUUGGCUAGUUGGCGGGGUAAAGGCCCACUAAGGCGUCGGUCCGUAGCUGGGGCGAGGGGAUGAAGAGGCACACUGGAACUGAGACACGAUCCAGACUCCUACGGGAGGCCGAAGUGGGGAAUAUAGGAAACUGGGCGGAAGCUUGAUCAAGCCACACAGGGUGGGUGAAGAAAGCCUUCGUGUUGUAAAGCGCUUUUGUUGGGAAAGAAAAGCAGCAGCUGAAUACACGGCUGUUGUGACGGUACCCACAGAAUAAGCACCGGCUAACUUCGUG
rnacentral:rRNA from 1 species